CUCAGAGCGAACGCUGGCGGCAGGCUUAACACAUGCAAGUCGAGCGGGCCCUUCGGGGUCAGCGGCAGACGGGUGAGUAACGCGUGGGAACGUGCCCUUCGGUUCGGAAUAACUCAGGGAAACUUGAGCUAAUACCGGAUACGCCCUUUUGGGGAAAGGCUUGACUGCCGAAGGAUCGGCCCGCGUCUGAUUAGCUGGUUGGUGAGGUUAUGGCUCACCAAGGCGACGAUCAGUAGCUGGUCUGAGAGGAUGAUCAGCCACACUGGGACUGAGACACGGCCCAGACUCCUACGGGAGGCUGCAGUGGGGAAUAUUGGACAAUGGGGGCAACCCUGAUCCACCCACGCCGCGUGAGUGAUCACGGCCUUAGGGUCGUACAGCUCUUUUCCCCGGGACGAUAAUGACGGUAUCCGGACGAAUUACCCCCGGCUA
rnacentral:rRNA from 1 species